GAAAUACUAAAAUAUUUUCAUAUUUAAUUUAAAAACGUAAAUCCAUUAUUGAAUACAAAUUCAAUAAAUAACUACAAUUUCAUUUAUUCUAGAUAGUGAUAUUUCCACCAUAAUAAUAAAUGAUUUUUCAUCUCAAAGUUUGGAUUAUGUGUAUUAAAAGUCAUAUACUAGGCAGCAGAAGAUAUCAAUUAUUACGCUAAAAAUAUCACAAUUAUUUGUUUUUACAUAGUUAAUACAACAUGUCCAAAAAACAAAUAGGAAAAAGAUUAAAUUUGAAAGAAGAAAAAAAGAUUUAUAGCCAUUAAUAUAUCUUUGAAAUGGAAAAUGAUAUACUCCCUCCCUCCAAGCCCUCUUCCUCCUCCUCUUCCCUCCAGCCUUCUCUUUAUUGAUUCUUCACCCUAACCAUUCCAUUUCAUAACCACUAAUUUUCUCCUCCAUUCAAUUAGCCAACCACCUGAAAAUAAAACAAAAGAGAAUUAAAUUAUCAAGAUCAACGAUCUAUUUGCCGCCGCCAGAUCCUCCGGAUCAAUGUCCGCCGCCGCCGCCAUCACCUUCUCCGCCGCCCAGAUUUCCACCGUCGCCGCUAACUAUGUGUAGGAGGUUGCCGGAGGCGAAGGAGACCGCAGUGAAGGCUAGGGGCUUUUUGAGGGGGAGGGGAGGGAAAUCGAGGGUUUGUGAGCGUGGUCAUCGAGGGUUUAGGGCUUGGAGGGAAGAGGGGGAUUUUGGGUGGACUGUGAGGGAAGAGGAGAGAGGAAUUUUGGGUGGGCUGAUUGAAAUAAGAAGAGAGAAAAAAUAAAAAUCCAUGGGGUCAUAUGAUAAAAAGGAGACUAUAUCAGCAAAUACACGUCAUUUAUAUUUUAAUUUUUAAAGCCACGUAAGAAAAUUA
rnacentral:lncRNA from 1 species